rnacentral:rRNA from 1 species
UACAGAGGUCUCAAGCGUUGUUCGGAUUCAUUGGGCGUAAAGGGUGUGUAGGUGGCGCCGUAAGUCGGGUGUGAAAUCCCCAGGCUUAACCUGGGAACUGCAUUCGAGACUGCAUUGCUAGAGUAUGGGAGAGGGAAGUGGAAUUUCCGGUGUAGCGGUGAAAUGCGUAGAUAUCGGAAGGAACAUCAGUGGCGAAAGCGACUUCCUGGACCAAUACUGACGCUCAUGUGCGAAAGCGUGGGGAGCAAACAGG